GAAGAAAGCUGGGGGCGUGCUUAACACAUGCAAGUCGAACGGAAAGGCCCUGCUUUUGUGGGGUGCUCGAGUGGCGAACGGGUGAGUAACACGUGAGUAACCUGCCCUUGACUUUGGGAUAACUUCAGGAAACUGGGGCUAAUACCGGAUAGGAGCUCCUGCUGCAUGGUGGGGGUUGGAAAGUUUCGGCGGUUGGGGAUGGACUCGCGGCUUAUCAGCUUGUUGGUGGGGUAGUGGCUUACCAAGGCUUUGACGGGUAGCCGGCCUGAGAGGGUGACCGGCCACAUUGGGACUGAGAUACGGCCCAGACUCCUACGGGAGGCAGCAGUGGGGAAUAUUGCACAAUGGGCGGAAGCCUGAUGCAGCAACGCCGCGUGCGGGAUGACGGCCUUCGGGUUGUAAACCGCUUUCGCCUGUGACGAAGCGUGAGUGACGGUAAUGGGUAAAGAAGCACCGGCUAACUACGUG
rnacentral:rRNA from 1 species